AUCCAGAUGAUGAGUCCGAAAUAGGACGAAACGCGCUUGCUGGAU
rnacentral:hammerhead_ribozyme from 1 species